AGGCAACGAGCGAGACCCACGCCCACAGUUGCCAGCGUACUCUCUGGAGUGACGGGUACACUGUGGGGGACCGCCGCUGCUAAAGCGGAGGAAGGAAUGGGCAACGGUAGGUCAGUAUGCCCCGAAUAUCCCGGGCUACACGCGAGCUACAAUGGUUGGUACAAUGGGUAUCUACCCCGAAAGGGGACGGGAAUCUCCUAAAACCAAUCUUAGUUCGGAUUGAGGGCUGCAACUCGCCCUCAUGAAGCUGGAAUCCGUAGUAAUCGCGUUUCAACAGAACGCGGUGAAUACGUCCCUGCUCCUU
rnacentral:rRNA from 1 species